CCUACGGGAGGCAGCAGUGAGGAAUAUUGGUCAAUGGGCGCGAGCCUGAACCAGCCAAGUAGCGUGAAGGAUGACUGCCCUACGGGUUGUAAACUUCUUUGAUAAAGGAAUAAAGUGAGGCACGUGUGCCUUUUUGUAUGUACUUUAUGAAUAAGGAUCGGCUAACUCCGUGCCAGCAGCCGAGGUAAUACGGAGGCUCCGAGCGUUAUCCGGAUUUAUUGGGUUUAAAGGGAGCGUAGAUGGGUUGUUAAGUCAGUUGUGAAAGUUUGCGGCUCAACCAUAAAAUUGCAAUUGAUACUGGCAGUCUAGAGUACAGUUGAGGUAGGCAGAAUUCGUGGUGUAGCGGUGAAAUGCUUAGAUAUGAGGAAGAACUCCGAUUGCGAAGGCAGCUUCCUAAAAUGCCACUGACAUUGAUGUUCGAAAGUGUGGGUAGCAAACAGGAUUAGAUACCCUUGUAGUC
rnacentral:rRNA from 1 species